rnacentral:rRNA from 1 species
UCGGGAAUUUUGGGCAAUGGGCGAAAGCCUGACCCAGCAACGCCGCGUGUGUGAAGAAGGUCUUCGGAUUGUAAAGCACUUUAAGUUGGGAGGAAGGGCAGUUACCUAAUACGUGAUUGUUUUGACGUUACCGACAGAAUAAGCACCGGCUAACUCUGUGCCAGCAGCCGCGGUAAUACAGAGGGUGCAAGCGUUAAUCGGAAUUACUGGGCGUAAAGCGCGCGUAGGUGGUUAGUUAAGUUGGAUGUGAAAUCCCCGGGCUCAACCUGGGAACUGCAUUCAAAACUGACUGACUAGAGUAUGGUAGAGGGUGGUGGAAUUUCCUGUGUAGCGGUGAAAUGCGUAGAUAUAGGAAGGAACACCAGUGGCGAAGGCGACCACCUGGACUGAUACUGACACUGAGGCGCGAAAGCGUGGGGAGCAAACAGGAUUAGAUACCCCGGUAGUCCCUGAGCGGGCUGGCAAGGCGCAU